rnacentral:rRNA from 1 species
ACAUGCCUAUAACAUAGCGUUAAUGCAAUAGAUCCCAUUAGAAAUCCGCACUUAAGAAUGCUCAAGCAAGAAUAACAAUGGGAUGGGUGACCACCCAGGAAGUCUUAGUUUUUCACAUGCC